UGGGGCCAGCAGCGAUUUACUGUCUGGAUACUGUUCCACCUCCAUUUUCAGCUGGUCGCUGAAACUGUGUGUGACUUCCUCUUACUUCUUGCCUGAUGACUCUGUCUUCUUGCAUCCACCAGAGAAGAUACCAUCUGUACUUCUUCCUUCUUUUUGUGAGGGUCAGGCCUAGACUAGAUUUCUAAGCAGAAAAAGAUUUGUGAUGUUACAAUAGGGGUAGACUUCUUUCAGCUCUAAAUUCCUAGGAAUAACAACCCUCUUAUGAUUUCUAUUGUGAAAUUUAGCGUCAAAUGUUUACUUCCAAAAUUACAUUGUGGUUUUAUGUUGCAAUUUUAAAAAUGUGGAAGUUGACAGAUGAGAAUCCCCAUCUUCUGAUGUGAAGCCUUGGUGGCCACAUGGCGUUGUGACCCGCUCUCUCCCUGGGGUUGUUUCCAGAGGACCUCGAGAAGAGCGGACCCUGAGACCUGCAGUGAAGCGGUGGAGUCAUUUAUUACAAAGAACCCAGAAAAGCCUUCACUAGACGGAUGGACCAGGAGGAACAGGGAAGCAUCAGAACCUGGAUGUCUGGGUACAGCUUUUGGGCACAAGAAAGGCCAGACAGGAGCAGAGAAAUUGGAAAAUACAUGGGAGCUGCUGCUUGCCAAGGAUCUCACUAUUUAGGGCAAGCUGAACUUGGACUUUUUUUUGUGGCCCAGGCCUCAAACAAACAACAGUCCUCCUGCCUCAGCCUCCUGAAUGCUAGGAUUACAGCUGGCCUGAGCAUCCUUAGCCUGAGGAUAACACCUUCUCCUCUAACUGCUGCAUGCUCCUGGUCCAGCCCUCCAGGGGAAGGAGGAAUGAAAAGAUGAAGGCCCCGCCUGGCUAGAACAAGGAGCGCCUGAUCUUACUUGAAAGCUGUAUGUGUCUCUGAAUUCCUUAGGGUGCCGAGGUUGGAUUGUAUUAAAUCCUGAUGAGAACAGAAAGAAUAAACGAUUCUGGAUACCUGUCACUCUGUUUACUUUGGUGACAAUCUGAGGAUUAGAAAAUUUAAUAGGAUUUUAAGUUUUCCCUCCCUCAACUACUCAGCUAACUCUCUUGUAUUGAUUUGGUCUAUGUGGAAUGAAAAUUAGAAAAAAAAAAAAAAGCCAUACAGGGUUAAGUGACAGCUUGUGACUUCUGGUUGAAAGUUAUUCUUCUGACAUUUCCAAGUAUGGUUUCAUGGAGUGUGCGGCAGGACCACCUUGAUCUACGCACCCCCACAAUUUCCCCAAUCUCAUUUGUCCCCUGCCUCAUCCUGAUAUGAGAAGCUGGGUAAUAACAGCAAUAACAGCUAAGUACUGGUCACUGAUUUGGUGGCACUAAUUUAUGUUUUCCAUUUAAAUCCAUUUGGGUUUUGCAGCAAACCAGUAGGUCCUGCUGUGGUGGUCGGCUAAACAAUGACCUCCCAAAGAGAUCCAACCCUUAGUAACUGGAACCUCUGAAUGUGGUAUUACAUGGGAAGGAGGAAUGGAGAGAUGUGAACAGAAUUAAGACUGCCACCAGCUCUGCACUACAGAGGGUGUCCUGGAAGAUCCAGAAGGAUCCAGUGUAAUCCUAAGUGUAGAAGGGACAGGCAGGGACAGAGAGAAUCAGAGAUGCACCCUGCAGGUGAAGGAGGAGCAGGGCACAGGAGAAAUCCAACGGACUACCCACAGUGAGGGGAGCCAGAGGAGCUGGAAUUGGAUUUUGGUGAGUUUUCUUCUGGGGAUGCAGGCCUCACUUGUAUUCUUACAGGAGAGGUGAAGCAGCUCUUCUACCUGGGCGUUCACUUUGUUCAUGAAGUCUUCCACUUCGUGACCCAAUUAUCUCCCAAACACUCCAUCUGCUAAUGUUGCUUUAGACAUCAGGAUUCUGCUUCUGAAGGUUGAGCAAAUGCAAAUGCCCACAGCGCAGGGGAAAAUGUGAUGAGGAACUGACUUCCUACCAGAAACAGUAGCGAGCAGGAGUGUGUGUGGUCUGUGGGAAAGAAACCUGGAUAAUGUACACGCAUGCCCCAUGCAUGAGUGGAAAUAUCACCCAGGACUCCAUCAAUGUCCACAGUUAAUCUGUGUCAAUAAAUUCUUUAAAAAUGUUCAAUGAAAAAAUGAAGCCAAUUAAGAAUUAAAUUAUACGAUAAACACAGGGACAAAAAGAUGUGAGAUAAAUGGAAAAAAUUGCAAAACGUAAAUGAAAUCACAACAGCAACUGCUCUAAGUGUAGAUUAAAUGCUCCAGUGGAAAAGCAAAGAUCCCUGGUUAUAAAAGGAAAAGGAAAAGGAAAUCCAAUACAAUGCUUCACAUGAGAGAACUACUUUAGGGUGAAGUACAUAAAUAAGUAGAAUUUAAAACGAUGGAAAAAGAUACGCUGUGCAAACAGCAGCUAUAAAGAAGCCGGUGUCGCUGCUUUAAUGUUAGUGCACUUUAAAUCAAUUGCAUUAAAGACAGAGCGUCACUUUUCCUGUUGAUAAAAUGCCCAGUGUAUAAGCUUUAACAAUUAUAAAUGCAUAUGUAUAUAAAACAGAAUCCCGAGCAAAUUCAACAAAAACUUACAGAGUGUAAGGAAAUUACCUACUCAACAGUCAUGAGUGGUGAUCUCAAUAUUCCUUUCUCAGUCAUCGACAAGGGGACAAAUGUUAAGGCCCAUAAAGACACAUGAGGCUUAGGCAAAUUAUAAUCCAACUGGACCUGACAUAGAGACCUUUUCCACUGCACAAUGGCUCAAGCCACAGAUUUUUCAGUGCACAGGGGUCAUUCUCUGGGAUAGAUCUUACACUUUGACAUAGACAAGUUUUAAUAACUUGGAGUGGUUUAAAUCAUACUACGUCUUUUCUCCUGCUACGGCAGUGUACAUUGGUGAAAAAAAAUAUAGACAAGGGAGUCUGUUCUUAGAGGUAAAUUUAUAACCUUAUGUACUUACACUUGAAAGGAAAAAAAGUUCAAAAAUCAACAAUCUGUUUCUACUUUAAGAAGCUAGGAAAGGGUUAGGUAGGUAAUUGAGCAGCAUAAGUACCUACCUGGCAAGUGCGAUGUCUGAGUUCAGUUCUCAGUUUACACACACACACACACACACACACACACACACAAACACACACAGCCAGAAAAAUAAAAUUAUCAAAUCAAAUACCAAAAAAUAAGAUAGAAAUUGAUAAAAUCAUGGUGAAAAUCAAAGAAAUAGAAAAGAGGAAAACAGAGAAAAAUCAAUGAAGCCAAAAGUUAUUCCUUUUAUUUAUUUAUGUUUAAAAAAAUUCAACACAGUUUGUAGGUAGAAAAGUUCUAAUUUUAGUAUCUGUGCUGCUGGGGUGAGCACUGUAGGUAAAAAAAUAAAACAAAGAAGUCUCAACCAUUUGGAUGUUGGCUGUGAUCUCGCCUCUGUCAAACAUAGAUUACGGAUGUUGGUAAAACUUCAGUGAGAAAUUUGGGGAUCACUAAUUGGUCACUAAUGUUUCAUAUUUUAUUUAGAACACUGGGGCCUUAUAGUUUAAGAGCAAUUGUCUAUGCAGCCAGGACGUGGGAGCAGCAGACUGGCUCCAACUUCAUGGAGUGACAGAGGAGGGGAGACCUAAGCAGAUCCCAGCCUCCUGCAGUAGAGUUUUAGGAGAACGUGCAAGAGAGCUUGAGAAAAUUCACAUAUUCUGCAUGUCCUCAAGGAAGGUUUGGGGGCUGGGGGUAAAACUCAGGGGUGUGGUACCUGCCUGCAGGCGUGAGGUCCUGAGUUCAAUUCAAGUAAAAGAAAGAAAGAAAGAAAGAAAGAAAGAAAGAAAGAAAGAAAGAAAGAAAGAAAGAAAGAAAGA